AUUGAACGCUGGCGGCAGGCUUAACACAUGCAAGUCGAGCGGGGGAAGGUAGCUUGCUACCGGACCUAGCGGCGGACGGGUGAGUAAUGCUUAGGAAUCUGCCUAUUAGUGGGGGACAACAUCUCGAAAGGGAUGCUAAUACCGCAUACGUCCUACGGGAGAAAGCAGGGGAUCUUCGGACCUUGCGCUAAUAGAUGAGCCUAAGCCGGAUUAGCUAGUUGGUGGGGUAAAGGCCUACCAAGGCGACGAUCUGUAGCGGGUCUGAGAGGAUGAGCAGCCACACUGGGACUGCGACACGGCCCAGACUCCUACGGGAGGCAGCAGUGGGGAAUAUUGGACAAUGGGGGGAACCCUGAUCCAGCCAUGCCGCGUGUGUGAAGAAGGCCUUAUGGUUGUAAUGCACUUUAAGCGAGGAGGAGGCUACUCUAGUUAAUACCUAGGGAUAGUGGACGUUACUCGCAGAAUAAGCACCGGCUAACUCUGUGCCAGCCGCCGCGGUAA
rnacentral:rRNA from 1 species